AAUUCAACAGACAGCUAGACAGGUUUAGGUCCAGUGUAAUUCAACAGACAGCUAGACAGGUUUAGGUCCAGUGUAAUUCAACAGACAGCUAGACAGGUUUAGGUCCAGUGUAAUUCAACAGACAGCUAGACAGGUUUUGGUCCAGUGUAAUUCAACACACAGCUAGACAGGUUUUGGUCCAGUGUAAUUCAACAGACAGCUAGACAGGUUUAGGUCCAGUGUAAUUCAACACACAGCUAGACAGGUUUUGGUCCAGUGUAAUUCAACACACAGCUAGACAGGUUUUGGUCUAGUGUAAUUCAACAGACAGCUAGACAGGUUUUGGUCUAGUGUAAUGACAUUAACUAAAUAAAACAUGUCUUCACAAUACAAUGUUUAUAAUACAUCCAGCAUAUUGAUUAUUACUUUUUCUACACCAAUGACAUAAGAUUUGACUAAUUACCAGACAGUCCCCACAACCUAGUUGAUACUGACCUUAACCCAACACCUAGCAACCUCAUAACCUGGUCUAUACUGAGUUUAUACUGUAGUGACCUUAACCCAACACCUAGCAACCUCAUAACCUGGUCUAUACUGAGUUUAUACUGUAGUGACCUUAACCCAACACCUAGCAAUUUCAUAACCUGGUCUAUACUGAGUUUAUACUGUAGUGACCUUAACCCAACACCUAGCAACCUCAUAACCUGGUCUAUACUGAGUUUAUACUGUAGUGACCUUAACCCAACACCUAGCAACCUCAUAACCUGGUCUAUACUGAAGUGACCUUAACCCAACACCUAGCAACCUCAUAACCUGGUCUAUACUGAGUUUAUACUGUAGUGACCUUAACCCAACACCUAGCAACCUCAUAACCUGGUCUAUACUGAGUUUAUACUGUAGUGGCCUUAACCCAACACCUAGCAACCUCAUAACCUGGUCUAUACUGAGUUAAUACUGUAGUGACCUUAACCCAACACCUAGCAACCUCAUAACCUGGUCUAUACUGAGUUAAUACUGUAGUUACCUUAACCCAACACCUAGCAACUUCAUAACCUGGUCUAUACUGAAGUGACCUUAACCCAACACCUAGCAACCUCAUAACCUGGUCUAUACUGAGUUUAUACUGUAGUGACCUUAACCCAACACCUAGCAACCUCAUAACCU
rnacentral:lncRNA from 1 species